UACGUAGGGUGCAAGCGUUAAUCGGAAUUACUGGGCGUAAAGCGUGCGCAGGCGGUGAUGUAAGACAGAUGUGAAAUCCCCGGGCUCAACCUGGGAACUGCAUUUGUGACUGCAUCGCUGGAGUGCGGCAGAGGGGGAUGGAAUUCCGCGUGUAGCUGUGAAAUGCGUAGAUAUGCGGAGGAACACCGAUGGCGAAGGCAAUCCCCUGGGCCUGCACUGACGCUCAUGCACGAAAGCGUGGGGAGCAAACAGG
rnacentral:rRNA from 1 species